ensembl:snRNA U1 U1 spliceosomal RNA
AUACUCACCUGGCAGGAGAGAGACCAUGAUCAUGAAGAUGGUUUCACAGUUCACAGCUUACCGACUGCACUCAGGCAUGCUGACACGUUUGAUUCUCCCUGACACAGUAAACUCAAUGGUAUAAUUGUGAUAAUGCGGACUUGGUUCCCACGCUCCCCU